rnacentral:rRNA from 1 species
AGAGCGAACGCUGGCGGCAGGCCUAACACAUGCAAGUCGAACGGACCCUUCGGGGUUAGUGGCGGACGGGUGAGUAACACGUGGGAACGUGCCUUUUGGUUCGGAAUAGCUCCUGGAAACGGGUGGUAAUGCCGAAUGUGCCCUUCGGGGGGAAAGAUUUAUCGCCAUUAGAGCGGCCCGCGUCUGAUUAGCUAGUUGGUGAGGUAAUGGCUCACCAAGGCGACGAUCAGUAGCUGGUCUGAGAGGAUGACCAGCCACAUUGGGACUGAGACACGGCCCAAACUCCUACGGGAGCAGCAGUGGGGAAUCGUUGCGCAAGUGGGCGAAAGCCUGACGCAGCCAUGCCGCGUAGAAUGAUGAAGGUCUUAGGAUUUAGUAAAAUUCUUUACGACCGGGGACGUAAUAAGUAGGAACCGGUACCCGGAAGAAAGAACGCCCCCGGAUAAACCGUUCGUACGCCAGCCAGCCCGA